CACACACCCUGGUGUGAUGGCGUGGAUCGAUCAGAGCAAAGGGGGGAGAAGACAAACCCUAACUUCAUGAAAUUCUCAAGAAUUGAAAGAGAUUAGGAGCCCAAACUAAUGCAUGAACUCGAAACCUCAAUCAUCUAAGCUUGUACAACAAGCGGAACGUGUCAAGGAGAGGUCAAGCAUAGGAGGAUAACGGGUCAAGAUAAGGCAAGAUGACAAAUACACUUAUUGGAGUACUCGAGGUAAGUGAAUUUCGAUUCACUUUUUAGUAGGUUUAAUAGAUUUUAAUACUUAUGUUUACGAAACAUCAUGAAAGAACAUGUAAUAAUCAGAAGUACAAAGCCAAUAAUGCCUCAUUAUUGAAGAAGGUUGUAUUUAAGCCGAAAGUAAAUUGGUGGGUUUAAACGGGUCGAA